GGGAACGUAGCUCAGACUGGGAGAGCACUACGCUGAAGACGUAGGUGUCCUGGGUUCAAAUCCCAGCGUUCCCA
rnacentral:tRNA from 1 species